rnacentral:lncRNA from 12 species
CGGAGCUGCGCUCGCACCAGAGCUGAGCUUUAAUUGAGCUCGACCCUGGCAGUGGAAGAUGUGCCAGAGGAGACACCAGCCCGGCUCCAGCGGGAGCUCGGGCGUGCCGGGGAAGCCUCCCCGGCCCAGAUUGAGCUGUUUUCCAGCUCAUUUGAGCACAUUCCUCGGAGCGCGCAGACAGGCAGCUUGGCUCGCUGCGGGUGAAGGGGCAGGCAGCGAGCAGAAGGAGAGGAUUUCUCCCCCUCCACCUGCUUUUUACUCCCAAGAUCACUUAUCUCCAAAGAAAAUUACCAUGAGGGCGGGCGCAGCAGCAGGUGUGGCAGCAGCAGGAGCCCUCUCAGGUGUUACCCAACCGAGGCAGUUCCCCACUACAGACACUCCAGCAGCCCGACGUGCUCCUAAAGGAAACUCCAUCUUAAAAAGCCUUUCCAC